rnacentral:rRNA from 1 species
UACAGAGGUCUCAAGCGUUGUUCGGAUUCAUUGGGCGUAAAGGGUGCGUAGGCGGCGCGGUAAGUCGGGUGUGAAAUCUCGGAGCUUAACUCCGAAACUGCAUUCGAUACUGCCGUGCUUGAGGACUGGAGAGGAGACUGGAAUUUACGGUGUAGCGGUGAAAUGCGUAGAUAUCGAUAAGGAAGACCAGUGGCGAAGGCGGGUCUCUGGACAGUUCCUGACGCUGAGGCAACGGAAGGUCAGGGGAGCAAACGGG